CCUUCUCACCCAACCCAGCAGCAGCUCACAUGGUUUCCUUCCUUCCUCUUUCCAUGAGAGUAAGAAAACAGAAGCAGAAAAUGGAUCAAAAAGGGAAGGGGAGGAGAUGCGAUCGGAAGGGGAGAUGGGUCACGAUGCUGCCGCCGUUCAAUUCACCACCAUGUCGUGCCGCCGUCACCAGCCUUGCUUGCCCUGCCGCUGUGAAGCUCGUCCCUGCUGAGUCGCCGCCGCCAGUGCUAGGGUAUGAUGCCGCCUGUCACCGUCGCGAGCUUCCUCGCCGUCGCCACUGAAGCCGCCAUUGCCGUCGCAGAGGAGAGAGAGCAGAGGAGAGAGACUGCGCAACUGUGAGGGAGGGGGACACGGGCCUGCAAUGCGAGGAGCGCGACCCGCUGCGCUGCCGUGGAUCCCUUGCCGUCGAGUUCGAAGGGAGCAGGGGAGAACGACGUUGGGUUUGAGAGAGACAGAGGUGGUAUGGCGCAAGGAAAGAGGCGAGCUGUUCGCGCCACCGUUGCUGAGCCAUAGUGCCGCCGCCAUUGGGUCUCUCACUGCUGUGCGUCGCCGCCCAAAGAGGAGAAAGAAGACCUGCGACUCCGGGAUGCACAGAGGGAAGAAAACGGUGCUGUUCUCCACUACCAUUGCCGAAGGCGGCGCCGCUGUGCCUCUGGUAGCCGGGAAACGGUGGUGGAUGUUGGUGCUGGGUUAGCGCCGCCACUGCUGCUGGCCGUUUUGAGUUGCUCCACCGUCUCUGCCGCCAGAGAAUAUAGCUUAGUCGCCAAAAAACCACUGCCAUCGCAGUUGUCGGGGUUAUUUGUCACCGCUGCCACUUGAGGUGACUGCUGGGGCUACCGCCAAGCCGGUUCAGAGGCCGUUGCUGUUUUGUUUUCAUAUUACAUACUAAUGUGUUAGGAAUUAGUAACCGAGCUUACAUGUACCGAGUGAGGCUGUUUCUGCUAUUUGGAAAGCAAGCGGAGGAUUCGGUUGUUGCAGAUUUCGGGCUGAGCGAAAAGGAGUCAGUUAACGAGUUUGGGAUGUGGUUUCAAUGUUUUGAGGAUAUGGGCGCAGAUGUUACGAAGAGUUUAUUUAGUUAUUGUUGUGAUGCUCUGAAUUGUCUUAGUUAUGAUUUAUUGUAC